GCCGAGGUGGUGGAAUUGGCAGACACGCUAGCUUGAGGGGCUAGUGACCGUCUAGGUUGUGCGGGUUCGAGUCCCGCCCUCGGCACCA
rnacentral:tRNA from 1 species